AUUAAACGCUGGCGGCAUGCCUUACACAUGCAAGUCGAACGGCAGCACGGGGGCAACCCUGGUGGCGAGUGGCGGACGGGUGAGUAAAGCAUCGGAACGUAUCCUGGAGUGGGGGGAUAACGUAGCGAAAGUUACGCUAAUACCGCAUAUUCUGUGAGCAGGAAAGCAGGGGAUCGCAAGACCUUGCGCUCUGGGAGCGGCCGAUGUCGGAUUAGCUAGUUGGUGGGGUAAAGGCCUACCAAGGCGACGAUCCGUAGCGGGUCUGAGAGGAUGAUCCGCCACACUGGGACUGAGACACGGCCCAGACUCCUACGGGAGGCAGCAGUGGGGAAUUUUGGGACAAUGGGCGGAAGCCUGAUCCAGCCAUGCCGCGUGAGUGAAGAAGGCCUCGGUUGUAAG
rnacentral:rRNA from 1 species